AGGUGCGAUCAUACCAGCACUAAUGCACCGGAUCUUACACAAUCCGAAGUUAAGGGUGCUUGAGCGAAAGUAGUACCAAUAUGGGUGACCCCCUGGGAAGUCCUCGUGUUGCACCCC
rnacentral:rRNA from 1 species